UACGUAGGGUGCAAGCGUUGUCCGGAAUUAUUGGGCGUAAAGAGCUCGUAGGCGGCUUGUCGCGUCGGCUGUGAAAACCUGGGGCUCAACCCCGGGCCUGCAGCCGAUACGGGCAAGCUAGAGUUCGGUAGGGGAGACUGGAAUUCCUGGUGUAGCGGUGAAAUGCGCAGAUAUCGUAAGGAAGACCAGUGGCGAAGGCGAGUCUCUGGACAGUUACCGACGCUGAGGCACGAAGGUCAGGGGAGCAAACGGG
rnacentral:rRNA from 1 species